ACUCCUACGGGAGGCAGCAGUGGGGAAUAUUGCACAAUGGGGGAAACCCUGAUGCAGCCAUGCCGCGUGUGUGAAGAAGGCCUUCGGUUGUAAAGCACUUCAGUAGGGAGGAAGGUAGUGUAGUUAACACCUGCACUAUUUGACGUUACCUACAGAAGAAGCACCGGCUAACUCCGUGCCAGCAGCCGCGGUAAUACGGAGGGGUGCGAGCGUUAAUCGGAAUUACUGGGCGUAAAGCGCAUGCAGGCGGCCUGUUAAGUCAGAUGUGAAAGCCCGGGGGCUUAACCUCGGAAUUGCAUUUGAAACUGGCAGGCUAGAGUCUUGUAGAGGGGGUAGGAAUUUCAGGUGUAGCGGUGAAAUGCGUAGAGAUCUGAAGGAAUACCAGUGGCGAAGGCGGCCCCCUGGACAAAGACUGACGCUCAGAUGCGAAAGCGUGGGGAGGCAAACAGGAAUUGAACACCCUGGAGCACAGA
rnacentral:rRNA from 1 species